GAUGAACGCUGACAGAAUGCUUAACACAUCAGCAAUUGAUUGGUGUCGGACGGGUGAGUACCGCGUAAAGAACUUGCCUCACAGGUCGUGACCACAUUUGGAACCGAAUGCUAAUACCUAAUACUGUGAGAUUGCUUUGCGUCCCAUUAGCUAGUUGGAGAGGUAACGGCUCACCAAGGCGAUGAUGGGUAGCCGGCCUGAGAGGGUGAUAGGCCACAAGGGGACUGGGGAACGGCCCUUAGGCCGACGGGAGGCAGCAGUGGGGAAGAGUGGACAACGGACCAAAGGCUGAACCAGGAAUUCUGUGUGCACGAGGAAGUUUUCGGAAUGAAAAGUGCUGUCAGUUGGGAAGCGGUACCAACAGAAGAAGUGACGGCUAAAUACGUGCCAGCAGCCGCGGUAAUUC
rnacentral:rRNA from 1 species